rnacentral:tRNA from 1 species
GCCGGUUUAGCUCAGUUGGUAGAGCAAUCGCCUUGUAAGCGAUAGGUCACGAGUUCGAGUCCCGUAACCGGCACCA